rnacentral:rRNA from 1 species
AUGAACGCUGGCGGCGUGCCUAAUACAUGCAAGUCGAGCGAACAGACGAGGAGCUUGCUCCUCUGACGUUAGCGGCGGACGGGUGAGUAACACGUGGAUAACCUACCUAUAAGACUGGGAUAACUUCGGGAAACCGGAGCUAAUGCCGGAUAAUAUAUUGAACCGCAUGGUUCAAUAGUGAAAGACGGUUUUGCUGUCACUUAUAGAUGGAUCCGCGCCGCAUUAGCUAGUUGGUAAGGUAACGGCUUACCAAGGCAACGAUGCGUAGCCGACCUGAGAGGGUGAUCGGCCACACUGGAACUGAGACACGGUCCAGACUCCUACGGGAGGCGGCAGUAGGGAAUCUUCCGCAAUGGGCGAAAGCUUGACGGAGCAACGCCGCGUGAGUGAUGAAGGUCUUCGGAUCGUAAAACUCUGUUAUUAGGGAAGAACAAAUGUGUAAGUAACUAUGCACGUCUUGACGGUACCUAAUCAGAAAGCCACGGCUAACUACGUG